UACAGAGGGGGCAAGCGUUAUUCGGAAUUAUUGGGCGUAAAGAGCUCGUAGGCGGUUUGUCGCGUCUGGUGUGAAAAUCCAGGGCUUAACCCUGGACCUGCAUCGGGUACGGGCAGACUAGAGUGCGGUAGGGGAGAUCGGAAUUCCUGGUGUAGCGGUGAAAUGCGCAGAUAUCAGGAGGAACACCGGUGGCGAAGGCGGAUCUCUGGGCCGUAACUGACGCUGAGGAGCGAAAGCAUGGGGAGCGAACAGG
rnacentral:rRNA from 1 species